rnacentral:lncRNA from 1 species
UACAAGUUAUGUUCAAUUAAAUUGAAAGAAGUAGUUCAAAGAGCUCUCAACACUCAAUGUUUAUAUGUUUGAAGAAAAAAUGUAGAAUUUGUUUGAAAUAAAAAUAAAGAAGAACUCAAAAGAAAGAAGAAAAACUAGUAGUAAUGCAUUCAACAAUCAUGUUUUUCAGCUUAGAAAAAUUUGCAAAUUUUAGGUCUACUUCUAAUGAGUUGAUGACUUCUAAAUGACUAAAACAAUUCUAAAAAACAUUGAAGAUUCAGAAAUUCAAAUCUAAGAAAGGAAAGAAACCAAAAUCAACUAGAUCGUAAAACUAGACUAAAACAUACAAUAGAAAAUCCUAGAACUAGGGUUCCUCUUCCAAGAAAGAUUUCUUGGAGAAGAUCCUUUAAAAGAAUACUUCCAAUUUUGGAGACCUCAAAGAAUAAGAGUGCAUUCAUUUUGCAACCCAAUUCUUA